GGAUAGCAUGCUGCAGCGCUGUGAUCUGCUCCUGCACAUUUUAAACGAGAGAGGAAUUAAAAACGCUAAUUAAAGUCAUCAUAACUUCUCACAAAGCGUCGACAAUGUUGCUGGACAGUGAUUGGGGACACCUAUAAAGCUAGGUGUUAGUUCAGGUAAAAUGGCAACACUGAAGACAUACCUGACUGGCAAAGAUGGAGCGGAUUAUCCUCUUGUGCGUGGUUUCCACCUGUCUCUCUGCCAUACAUGCUCAGAAAUUCUUGUUCAGCCCAAAAUGGGGCCCGAUUGGCUAUAA